ACCAGUAGAUUUUCAGUAACUGUUUAUCUGCGAGGUAAACAACUCAAACUCCUAACUCAGCCCCAACCCCCCACCUCUUUGCCUCUCUGCGGCGGAGCUUUUUCAUAUUUAAUGCUUCAGUCAUUAGCAGUGCUCUCAUCUUACAGGCCCUGUUUUCCUUUCUCCGGCCUGUCUGUGUGUCACUCCAGGCAGCAACCUGAAGAGUCUAUCACGCUGAGUGGAUCAAAUACAAAUGGCAGGAAACCGUGCCAACGCAACCACGCGUGGGGCCGCACGACCGUCACGACAAGGACAGCUACUCUCCCCAAAUAAACCAGGGAGCGCCACAAGGGUGAGUUGCCCCCUGUGUGUCGGGGCAACACACCGAAGUUCACCCCCCCCACUCGCCUCCUCUUUUCACCUCCUCCCUCUCUCCAUCUUCUCCUCCUUUCCUUACCGAGCAGCAGCAGCUUGACCUCCCUGGCUGCCUUCUCCCCGUCGUCCCGCAGAUUCCUGUCGAUCAUUUUGCUGCGCUCCACCGCCGCCUUGUCCUCCGUGCUCAGUGUGCAUCCCAUCCUCGACUGUGUGUCCUUCAGACCCCCAAGACGGUGUGUGUACAAAAACAAAAAUCUAAAA